UCUCAUGUUUUACUGAACCUUUUCUUGCAAGUACUUUCAAAAGCUAGAGCUGAACACUAGAGAUUAAUUUCAGAAUACCACAGAAAAUAAGUCAUGUCUAAAACUCCUGUUGUCCUUGCCUUGAGAACACUCAUAUCUCACACUGUUAUCCAGCAUCCUUGAAUGCAAAAGUUCUUGAAACUGAAAAACAAUUUUCUACAUUUUUAUGGGUCAUUUUGUGCCAUGUUUUUAUUUUUUAAAAACUGCAACAAAAUAAAAUACUUCCCAUUCUGCUUCCAAAUAUUUGAAGCAAGUGGGUUUGCUUUUAUUUAGUUUUUCAGUUGAGGCUGUCUCUCUUCAUGCAUAUUAGCUUAGGCUCAGAUUAAGUUUUUGUAGAAAGGUCAGCGUAGGACAGAAAAAAUGUAGGCAAAGCCAAUGAUAAUAAUAAUAAUAAUAAUAAUAAUAAGUUAUUUCAUUAGGUAUUAUGUUUUUAUUCAGUCAUUGCUCCAUUGGCAACCCAGAAUAGCCUUACUGGUUGCCAUCUUUGAUUAAAUUUGUGUUUGGAUGCACAAUUGCAGUGUCAUACCCAUCUGACAUAGAAGUAUGGGCAGCUUCUGAAAUCUGGCUCAGCGUGCUGCCUCGUUAUAUUAGUGCUUAAUAAAAUCAUUUCCCAGAGCUGACUGGUGCAGUAGGUGCUUGGCAGCUGUGUGUGCGAGGGACAUGGUUGUGGGGAAGGGCAGGACUUAUCUGUUGACAGCAGUCUCUUGCUAUGUCUAUGACUGUCUCAGACCCCCUCAGCUCAAGAUGGUUGUCUGGGACUUUCCAGCCUCAGAAUCUGGUGCUUUUGCUUUGCUGAAGCUCAGCAUUAUAGAUGAAAGAUCUGUUUUAUUUUGGUUUAUAUAAGCGUGCUGUUAAUAAGAAAGAACUCUACCCAGUUUAUAAUGAUCCUUUCCAGAAAGUGGAGAGAUGAAUAUGUAAUACUUGGCAUGUGGAGCUGCAUUAAUGACAUUUUAAACGCUAAAUAAUAUUUUCAGUGUUGCAGUUGCAUUUUCUCACUCUGCGCAAGUUUAAAUGUUUUGUGAAAUGGCAAAGUAGGUUUCUGUGUCACUUAAAAGUUUCUUCUAAAAUUUACUUUUGUUGCUCCUUUAAAGCUGUUGCUUUAAUACUUCUUUUUUUUUAUCAGUAUUGUUAUAUUACUAGAUUGAGUCAAAUUUGUACCUUUAAAGUUUUGUAAAAGUAAUGAGUGCAUGCUUGUCAUUACAGGUGACAAAUCUGAUAUUAAGUCUAAAGUCACUAGCAUUUGUUACUUUGUAGUCUGUGUACUGUUCAGCUGUUUUUCAAUUUUCGUUUAAUUUACUGAUGAAAAUAGAGCAAUAGGCUGGCUCUGUCUGAAAAUGUAGUGAUCUCUAAGGUGAGCUUAAAAAUCCAUUCAUGAGUAGUUCACCAUGUGCUGAAUUUCAGGACCGUUUUUGAUGGAUCAACAUAUUCUUGUUGCUUUCACUGCUGGAUGUCAAGAAAAAAAGCUGUCACACUGGCGUGUUUGUUGCUCUCUGUUUUGCUUGAGCGAGAUGGAGCCAAGCACUGAAUUCCUGACUUCAUUUAAGCCAGAACAGUCCAGUGGUGGUGUUUGAUCGAUCGGCUUCUCUCCAGUCUGUUUUUUCUGGGAGGAUGCCGACAACAGCUGCUUGAGCCAGCUAAAUGCCGCUUCCCACACUUGUUCACAGCCCAUCCCAGCCUAAGGAAUAAGGGGCAGAGGGGCAGCUGUGCCCGAGGGCAGAAGUCCAGUUCUCUGUGAGUUGUCACUGGAUCCAUGCAGCAGCUUCCUUACUUUGGCAGCCAUUUCCUUUAGCUCCAGUUGACUUCAGCUUUUUUUUUUUUUUUAAUACGUACAUCUUUUGUCCAACAGAAGAAAAAAUUCGUUUUAUUGUACACUGUUCUUAAAUCAGCAACUGGGAAACUAUUAAAGAUGGAAAUGCAAAACUAA